rnacentral:rRNA from 1 species
UAUAAAGGAAUAAAGUCGGGUAUGCAUACCCGUUUGCAUGUACUUUAUGAAUAAGGAUCGGCUAACUCCGUGCCAGCAGCCGCGGUAAUACGGAGGAUCCGAGCGUUAUCCGGAUUUAUUGGGUUUAAAGGGAGCGUAGAUGGAUGUUUAAGUCAGUUGUGAAAGUUUGCGGCUCAACCGUAAAAUUGCAGUUGAUACUGGAUAUCUUGAGUGCAGUUGAGGCAGGCGGAAUUCGUGGUGUAGCGGUGAAAUGCUUAGAUAUCACGAAGAACUCCGAUUGCGAAGGCAGCCUGCUAAGCUGCAACUGACAUUGAGGCUCGAAAGUGUGGGUAUCAAACAGGAUUAGAUACCCUGGUAGUCCACACGGUAAACGAAGAAGACUCGCUGUUUGCGAUAUACUGCAAGCGGCCA